rnacentral:rRNA from 1 species
CCUACGGGGGGCAGCAGUGGGGGAUAUUGCACAAUGGGGGGAACCCUGAUGCAGCGACGCCGCGUGGGUGAAGGAGUGCUUCGGCAUGUAAAGCCCUAUCGGCAGGGAAGAAGCAAGACGGUACCUGACUAAGAAGCCCCGGCUAACUACGUGCCAGCAGCCUCGGUAAUCCGUAGGGGGCGAGCGUUAUCCGGAUUCACUGGGUCGAAAGGGAGCGUAGACGGCCAUGCAAGCCAGGGGGGAAAGCCCGGGGGCCAACCCCGGGACUGCCCUUGGAACUGCAUGGCUGGAGUGCGGGAGGGGCAGGCGGAAUUCCGGGUGUAGCGGUGAAAUGCGUAGAUAGCAGGAGGAACACCGGCGGCGAAGGCGGCCUGCUGGACCGCGACUGACGUUGAGGCUCGAAAGCGUGGGGAGCGAACAGGAUUAGAUACCCGAGUAGUC